rnacentral:rRNA from 1 species
GGUCGUGGGCCUCGGUCCGCCCUUCACGGGGUGUUGUACCUGGGGUCUGCAGCCAUCCUCAGAGAGAAAGUGUCUGACAUUAAGUUGCCGGAUACAUCUUCGCUCUGUCAUUUACUGUGAGCAAAAUAGAGUGUUCAAAGCAGGCUUAGGCCGUUGAAUACAUUAGCAUGGAAUAAUAAGAUAGGACCUUGGUCUAUUUUGUUGGUUUGCACUCCAAGGUA